AACACCCAACGCCAACGCCACACACGCAUCGGCACCGCCUUCGGGGUGCUGCGUCUCGCCCACCAUCAAAAUCGGGCGAGCCGCGGUCGAAGCCGGGGAUGCGUGGAGGUCCCAAC
rnacentral:sRNA from 1 species